AGCGAACGCUGGCGGCAGGCCUAACACAUGCAAGUCGAACGAACUCUUCGGAGUUAGUGGCGGACGGGUGAGUAACACGUGGGAACGUGCCUUUAGGUUCGGAAUAACUCAGGGAAACUUGUGCUAAUACCGAAUGUGCCCUUCGGGGGAAAGAUUUAUCGCCUUUAGAGCGGCCCGCGUCUGAUUAGCUAGUUGGUGAGGUAAAGGCUCACCAAGGCGACGAUCAGUAGCUGGUCUGAGAGGAUGAUCAGCCACAUUGGGACUGAGACACGGCCCAAACUCCUACGGGAGGCAGCAGUGGGGAAUCUUGCGCAAUGGGCGAAAGCCUGACGCAGCCAUGCCGCGUGAAUGAUGAAGGUCUUAGGAUUGUAAAAUUCUUUCACCGGGGACGAUAAUGACGGUACCCGGAGAAGAAGCCCCGGCUAACUUCG
rnacentral:rRNA from 2 species